GAUGAACGCUAGCGGAAGGCCUAAUACAUGCAAGUCGAGGGGUAACAGGGGAGCUUGCUCCCGCUGACGACCGGCGCACGGGUGAGUAACGCGUACGUAACCUACCUUCAAGAAAGGGAUAGCCCUGGGAAACUGGGAUUAAUACCUUAUAGUAUCAUAAGACCGCAUGGUUUAAUGAUUAAAGCUCCGGCGCUUGAAGAUGGACGUGCGUUCUAUUAGAUAGUUGGUGAGGUAACGGCUCACCAAGUCAGCGAUAGAUAGGGGGCGUGAGAGCGUGGUCCCCCACACGGGUACUGAGACACGGACCCGACUCCUACGGGAGGCAGCAGUAAGGAAUAUUGGACAAUGGGCGCAAGCCUGAUCCAGCCAUUCCGCGUGUAGGAUGACGGCCCUCUGGGUUGUAAACUACUUUUAUUUGGGAAGAAACCCUGGGAUUUAUCCUAGGCUGACGGUACCAAAAGAAUAAGCACCGGCUAAUUCCG
rnacentral:rRNA from 1 species